AUUGAACGCUGGCGGCGUGCCUAAUACAUGCAAGUAGGACGCAGUUGCGAACGUGUGAGUAACGCGUAGGUACCUGCCUAUUAGAGGGGGAUAACUAUUGGAAACUAUAGCUACUACCGCAUACUAGUAGAUGGACCUGCGUUGUAUUAGCUAGUAGGUAGGGUAAUGGCCUACCUAGGCGACGCUACAUAGCCGACCUGAGAGGGGGAUCGGCCACACUGGGACUGAGACACGGCCCAGACGCCUACGGGAGGCAGCAGUAGGGAAUCUUCGGAAAUGGAGGGAACGCUGACCGAGCAACGCCGCGUGAGUGAAGAAGGUUUGCGGAUCGUAAAGCUCUGUUGUUAAGGAAGCGGUACUUAACCAGAAAGGGACGGCUAACUACGUGCCAGCAGCCGCGGUAAUAC
rnacentral:rRNA from 1 species